UUUUACAUUAUUGACAUCAUUAUAAACUGCCCAGAGUUACCAUCGGUCAGAUGGGUGGUAUAGAAAUCAGAUAGAUAGAUAGAUAGAUAGAUAGAUAGAUAGAUAGAUAGAUAGAUAGAUAGAUAGAUAGAUAGAUAGAUAGAUAGAUAGAUAGAUGAUAGAUAGAUAGAUAGAUAGAUAGAUAGAUAGAUAGAUAGAUAGAUAGAUAGAUAGAUAGAUAGAUAGAUAGAUAGAUAGAUAGAUAGAUAGUCAAACUUUAUACAUGUCUCCACACAACUGAGUCCUAUUGAAUUCAAUGAAGUUUAUUCCGAGGUCAAUAGGAACUGUAGGGAUGGAGAGAUCUCUGUCCUAAAGAUGAAAUGGCCCAUCGAAGGAGGCCUGCACAUGGCCCUUAUCUCCAGUUCCCUGACUAAAGUUCAACCUUCCUCACAAGUUGCCACGAGCUCUUCCGUUGAUACUAUCACAAUUUUAAAGAAGCCUCUGGGUUUUCAGGUUCCAGGGCACUGACUGGUGCCUCCAACAAUUGCUAGGCUUCUCUGGGUUUCCAGAAGAUGGUUGGGGGAUAAAUCUCAGUGGCAUUCUGGGAGUUUGAGUUCUCCCUCUUGGGCAUCCAUCCCCUGUUCACUCCCAACCAGUGCCAGGACUCACUCACUGUAAGUGUAAGAAUGUUGCAUGUAUAAUACAGUAUUUGUUUCGAAGAAAGUGCAGGAAAUCCUCUUUGUCUGCCUCUCUCAUUCACACUGACACAUACUGUAAUCUUUUCCAGGAGCCUGUCACAAGGGGCAGUCUCCUGUGACAUUACAGGGCAUAGGAAUGUGUCUGCAAGUCUGUGCUGUGACAGACAAUGGCGUCUGGGCAUAGAUGGUAGGAGCCACAUGCCAGGCUCCACCCACUUUGACAUAUGGGGCCCCACCCAGAUUUUAGAAACGUUUUGUUUUCCGCCCACAUCAAUGCUGGCAGGAAAUUCUGGAAUAUAUAAACCAAAACACAAAAACCAAAAACAGACCACAUCUCAAUCCAUUUCCCAAGAAUCUUUCAUCACUGACGCAAGUAGAAGCCCUAGUGCCUGCAUGGAGCUCCCUCCAAACAUCAAAGAUGUUAUGGAGAGAACUACGUGA
rnacentral:lncRNA from 1 species